rnacentral:tRNA from 1 species
GCAUGCAGCUCAAUGGUAGAACACUUGCCUAGCAUGAAUGAGGCCUUGGUUUCAAUCCCUAGCACUGCA